rnacentral:misc_RNA from 1 species
GGGGAAAUGAUGGCCAACACCAAGGUUCUGCCCCCCCUCCUCGUGGAAAGGGACACGGUCGGGGUAAUGCUCGUUUUAGGAGUUUCAAAGCACAAAGUGUGAUUUCUACAUCUUCCUAUACAGAACCUUCUGCUGCUAAGGAAAACUCGGCUGAUGCAGCCAAAAAGGCAGCCGAAUCUGCUUCUGCACCAGAAAGGAUAGCUCCUAACCGUCGACCUCGGCAGAUUGCUUGGUGUGAACUUUGUAGGGUAGAUUGCACUAGUUUGGAAAUUCUUGAGCAGCACAAGAAUGGAAAGAGGCAUAAAAAGAACUUGCUGAGGAUUGAAGAGUUGAAAAAUGCUAUCAAACCAGCGGAUUCUAUACAGAAUCAUCCAGAAUGUAUAAAUGAUUCCAAGCCGGUAGAGUCUCAGCAGCCUCCAAUUGCAGAGGAUAGUGAAGAGCAGAAGUCAGCAGAAAACUUACCCUCUAAAGCUGGUAAUGCUGAAUAUAGAAUGGAGAACAAUCUGCAAAAUAAUACACAGGAAAAACCUGAAGUUCCAAUGGGGGAAUCAUCUAAUAAGCAAGGAAGGAAGCCAAGGACAAAUUUGUUUGAUAAUAGGAGACGUGGA